UACGUAGGGGGCAAGCGUUGUCCGGAUUUAUUGGGCGUAAAAAGCGUGUAGGCGGCCACACAGGUCAGCUGUGAAAACUCGAGGCUCAACCUCGAGACGUCGGUUGAAACCGUAUGGCUAGAGUCCGGAAGAGGAGAGUGGAAUUCCCGGUGUAGCGGUGAAAUGCGCAGAUAUCGGGAAGAACACCCGUGGCGAAGGCGGCUCUCUGGGACGGUACUGACGCUGAGACGCGAAAGCGUGGGGAGCGAACAGG
rnacentral:rRNA from 1 species